GGGCCGGUAGAUCAGUGGGAGAUCGCUACCUUGGCAUGGUAGAGGCCGCGGGUUCAAUUCCCGCUCGGUCCA
rfam:Methanospirillum hungatei JF-1, complete genome.